CUGGGCGAAGGGUGGAAAAGUGGCCACAGAUGGAAAGGCGGGCUGCGGAGUAGUGACCGGCAAGGGAGGUGGCGCGAAAAGGGAAGUAGGGACAUGACGUAGUUGGAACGCAGAGACGUGCCUCGAACGUGGGGGGCGCGGUCCUUACGUGUGGGCGUGCCUUGUUGCUCUGAGGGGCGUAACAAAGAUGGUGGAGCAGGCGGAGGGCAGAGGCGUCGGCAAGUUAGCGUGCAGGCGCGUGGCAGCGACAGGAGAUGUGUAGCCAGAGCGCAGAGCAGGUGUGGACUCCGGCGCUGGGGAAGCGUGGCCAGGGCGAGAUUUCAGCCUGGGUCGGGGACAGAAUGGGGACUGAUAGGGGCGUAACCUGGAAUGACGAAAUGACGUUUGCUGCGUAGGGACGUGGCUAAACGUGAGGGGGCGUGGCCAAGAUGGCCGCGUGCGGGAUCCUCGGGUACCGGGAGCGAACGAGGAGGUUCUGGCUCAGUGCAUCCACUCUGGGAGAGCGUGGACCUGGUUCCUGGGGGCGAUCGCCAGUCACCCAUCAACAUUCGGUGGAGGGACAGUGUUUAUGAUCCCGGCUUAAAACCACUGACCAUCUCUUAUGACCCAGCCACCUGCCUCCACGUCUGGAAUAAUGGGUACUCUUUCCUCGUGGAAUUUGAAGAUUCUACAGAUAAAUCAGAUUUCGGAAACUUCUGGCAGCCCAGUGUCUACUGGAAGGCCCAAGCCGCUUGCCAGAAAGCUGCGCCCCGCCCAAAAGCACUGGGUUCUGCAGUCCAGGCCCUUCCUCAGCUCCCAGGUCCAGGAGAACUGCAAGGUCACCUACUUCCACAGGAAGCACUGGGUCCGCAUCCGGCCCCUCCGCACCACUCCUCCCAGCUGGGACUACACCCGCAUCUGCAUCCAGAGAGAGAUGGUCCCCGCCCGCAUCCGCGUCCUGAGAGAGAUGGUCCCCGAGGCCUGGAGGUGCUUUCCCAACAGGCUGCCGCUGCUGAGCAACAUCAGGCCUGAUUUCUCCAAGGCUCCCCUGGCCUACGUGAAGCGGUGGCUUUGGACCGCCCGCCACCCCCACAGCCUGUCCGCAGCCUGGUGACCGUGAAAAUCGCCCCGCCAGAGAGCAGAGGAAGCCCGACGCCCAGGCCAUCUGCCUUCAGGUCUGUGAUGAGAAACGGAGUGGCCUGUUCCGUUGUGCCCAGGUCUAGGCCGCUGAGCAGAGCCCUCACUCCCAGGCAGAGUUGUCUGAAUCCUUCCUGGCGGCCGCCUGCUGCCCUGACGCCUCAGGCUUGCCUGCACCUGGAAGGAGCUUCGCCAGGUGGGCCAUGAGCCUCUGAGCACACCCAGCCUGCUGCCCGGCUCCAAGAGUCAGGCCCCUGCCACCACCUCCUGAGCCUCCAGCCCUCAGCACCUUCACCCUACUGACCGCGGUUCUACCCCCACACCAGCCACCGGCCCCACCGGGGCACUUCCCACUGCUCCAGCCGACCACUCAGCGAGCCCCAGGCCCACCUCUCCUCUCCCUUAAAGCCCUUCCCUUGCCCUUGCCCAUUCGCUCCUGCCUUCUCCCUGGGGACAGGAGGCAUGCUUCUCCCCAGUUUCCACAAUAAAAUAUUUGUUGUUA
rnacentral:lncRNA from 1 species